CAAUAUCUCCUGCUCAUUUCUUAAACGUUGCUCAUUCACUCUGUCGGAUCAUAGAUGCUGUUCUCCACCAAACCUACCACCUCUGGACUGCUUCAGUUUAUGGACACUUCUGCUCCCCUCCCUUUGUGGAUUCCCCCCUCUUGGACUCUGUUGUGCUCCUGUCUGUUUUGGAUUUACCUCAGCCUGUUUGCUCCUUCGGUUGUUAGUUUCCCUUAGUGCUACAAGUGAUGUUCAUCUGAAAAAGGCAGCAGUUCUCAAGGCACUUUGUCUCUGCCUUGGUGAGGAUGACAGACAUCUUAUCUACGAUUACAUAGACAUCGAGGGAAAUGACAUCCAGAGGGACAUGCAGGUGGCCGCCAUGGGCCUUUAUGUGAUCAAGAAGGAGGGUGGAGAGAGUGGACAAUAUGAUGACAUUGGAAUUUUUGUUGACGGGAUGAUAAUUCUGGACAACAUUGAAUCUGCAGCCCAAGCUUGCGUGGUGAUGCUUGGAGUAAUCUAUGCACUGAACCUACCCAAAGGAGCUGAGACGCUACUACGAAUUCAUUCAAAAAGUGCUCAUGGGUCUGGAUGGGGAUAAGCUCUGCCCCAAAGUCCAUGGGUUGCAGAACAAAAUCAGUGUUGGACCAUAGGAAUGCUUCAGCCACAGUUGCAAAGACAAAGCUGUUUUGUCCUUGUUAUUGGAAGUGAUGUGAAACACUGAACGAGUACGAAGGGAGUAUUUGCACAGACAUAGUUGAGUACGACCCUAAAUGUACUUAUAACCAGCCUGUUCUACCUGAUGGGGCAGCAACAAAGAAUCGCCACUCCUGUUGUUUAUUCUCCUCUUCCAGGCCAACACGUUAAUAUUCCUCAAGUCAUAUUUGCUUGCAUACAAUGUACUUUAUUUUGUUUCACUUUCUUUGGAAGUCUCUGCAGUGUAUUGCAUCACAGCCAGGAAAUCUGUGUUUUUUGUUUUCCUUCCUGUGAACCAUUCUGCUGUGACUUGUUUUGAGUUUUUCUCAUAAUGAACGGUGCUGGUGUAAGGCUUAUGUUUUUUGUUACUGAUGGGUUUACUAGGAAUGGUACAAAUGGAUAAAAAAGGAUAAUCAUAAUUACAUUCCUGAGACUUCUUAUUGAGAACAAAUCUGGUCUUAUUACCUUAUUAGUAUAUGGAAGUGUAGCAGAAUAUUUUAGUGGUCUUUUGAGAACAAACCGAGCCUCUUGGAUUAUCUAUUGCUGUUAUGCAUUUGCACACUGGGGGUUCUUGACAUAACAGUAUUUGAUUUGGUUCAUAAAAGUCAUUUUGAUUUGACAUCAUCAUUUUGUUAUUCUUUGAAUAUUGAAUUUACUGAUGGCAAA